UACGGAGGGUGCAAACGUUGCUCGGAAUCAUUGGGCGUAAGCGCACGUAGGCGGCUCGUUAAGUCGGAUGUGAAAGCCCCGGGCUCAACUCGGGAAGUGCAUUCGAAACUGGCGAGCUUGAAUAUGGAAGAGGGUCGCGGAAUUCCCGGUGUAGAGGUGAAAUUCGUAGAUAUCGGGAGGAACACCAGUGGCGAAGGCGGCGACCUGGGCCAAUAUUGACGCU
rnacentral:rRNA from 1 species